GCGUGUGGGGAAAUCCCUCUGGGAAAAGGCAGUGUCCAUAGAGGAGACAGAGGAUCCUGCAGCUUCAGUCAGUAAAGGGAGAGAGGCCUUGGGGCACAUCCCCGCGGGCUUUUCUCUCCCGAGGUUCCUUUUAUCCCAAAUCCGCCGCUCGCUCGGUGCCCUCUGCCUUCCCCCUCUGGCCGAGGUACCAGGGAGGUGCAGCCUUCCCGAACCGCCUGCCACAUAUCCCCCCUUGAACAGGUGUUGCAGCAGCACCACAACACAAACCGCUCUCACAGGACAUUCAUCUGAAAAACCAGCAGAAUAAAAAGAGUAAACAAUAAAUCACUGCUGAACAAGGGAGCUCUGAACUCGAAAGCCAUGACGUGGAGCUGUUCUCUGAGUUGUUGCUGUCUCUAAGCAAUAGCAGCCCUGCUCAGCCCCACGUGCAGUGAAUGGCCACUGGUGUUCUGCUGUUCCUCUGACAGCUUCCACUCCCCAUGAACACAUCCCACUGCUGCAGGUCUGCCUUGCUUCACAGUCUGGCCCUCCCUGCUGAGGGCUGCUGCUUUGAACACAUUUCACCAGCUCAGGUUGCUCCAAGCCCUGUCCAACCUGGCUUUGAUCACUUGCAGUUUGAUUGCUGAGUCCAAAUAUUCCUAACGAAAAAAAUAUUUCCAUCUACACAUCAGCAAUGAUCUACCCAGUGGAGCAGGAGAGAAACAAAAAGCUGAUUUUUCCCUUGCCACAACCCCAGCUGUAAGAAUGUGAACAAUGAGGCACAGAGCACCACUGAAGUUCCAAAGAAAACAAGUUCACAUGCAGACAGGCUUGAGCCAGAUAAGCUGACACAAUCUGUAUCCCAUAUGAGAAGCUUUGCCAGGGAAUUUGAAGCCAAUCUUUGCUUCCAUUUUUAAGCAGAAAAUCCUUAUGUCAAAGAAAAUAAAACUGUAGAGAAAAGCAUGGACUGAGUAUUUGGGGCAAAAGGCAUAAAAAUAAAGCUGCACCACUGAAUGCUG